UACGAAGGGGGCGAGCGUUGUUCGGAAUCACUGGGCGUAAAGGGCGCGUAGGCGGCCCUCUUAGUCGCGUGUGAAAGCCCCGGGCUCAACCUGGGAACGGCGCGCGAAACGGGAGGGCUGGAGUUCGGGAGAGGAGAGUGGAAUUCCCAGUGUAGAGGUGAAAUUCGUAGAUAUUGGGAAGAACACCGGUGGCGAAGGCGGCUCACUGGACCGGCAUUGACGCUGAGGUGCGAAAGCGUGGGGAGCAAACAGG
rnacentral:rRNA from 1 species